rnacentral:lncRNA from 1 species
AAAACCACCCCGAGGGGAACUAAGAAAAUAAGGAGCUUUCUUGAGUCAAGUCAGUCCAUCUUCACUAUCUUCCGAAGAAUGCCUCACUUUCGAUCCGCACAUUCUAUAAAGCAUCAAGCUAGGCAUUCAAUAGUAGCUAAGUCAAUAGCUGGGGAUUCCUUCUCCCUUAAAGCCUAUUCUGAUUCAUUCCCUUUCCUUGAUUCGAGGAGGUUAUCUUCUAGUAUAAUAAGGGGACAGGUGCUAUCAUAUAGAAUAGAAGUCCGCCCCAGUCACUAAACCUAGCUCACCAAGCCUUAGGAGUGCCUGUGGAUCUUGGCAUCUAGGGCUUUAGCAGAUUUUGCUUUAAUAAGUGACAUCUCACUUGAUUCCCCCUCGG